rnacentral:rRNA from 3 species
GCUGCAUGGCUGUCGUCAGCUCGUGUUGUGAAAUGUUGGGUUAAGUCCCGCAACGAGCGCAACCCUUAUCCUUUGUUGCCAGCGGUUAGGCCGGGAACUCAAAGGAGACUGCCAGUGAUAAACUGGAGGAAGGUGGGGAUGACGUCAAGUCAUCAUGGCCCUUACGACCAGGGCUACACACGUGCUACAAUGGCGCAUACAAAGAGAAGCGACCUCGCGAGAGCAAGCGGACCUCAUAAAGUGCGUCGUAGUCCGGAUUGGAGUCUGCAACUCGACUCCAUGAAGUCGGAAUCGCUAGUAAUCGUGGAUCAGAAUGCCACGGUGAAUACGUUCCCGGGCCUUGUACACACCGCCCGUCACACCAUGGGAGUGGGUUGCAAAAGAAGUAGGUAGCUUAACCUUCGGGAGGGCGCUUACCACUUUGUGAUUCAUGACUGGGGUGAAGUCGUAACAAGGUAACCGUAGGGGAACCUGCGGUUGGA